rnacentral:rRNA from 1 species
GACGAACGCUGGCGGCGUGCCUAAUACAUGCAAGUCGAGCGCAGGAAACUGACGGAACUCUUCGGAGGAAAGGCAGCGGAAUGAGCGGCGGACGGGUGAGUAACACGUAAGGAACCUGCCUCAAGGAUUGGGAUAACUCCGAGAAAUCGGAGCUAAUACCGAAUAGUUCAACGGACCGCAUGGUCCGCUGAUGAAAGGCGCUCCGGCGUCACCUUGAGAUGGCCUUGCGGUGCAUUAGCUAGUUGGUGGGGUAACGGCCCACCAAGGCGACGAUGCAUAGCCGACCUGAGAGGGUGAUCGGCCACACUGGGACUGAGACACGGCCCAGACUCCUACGGGAGGCAGCAGUAGGGAAUCUUCCACAAUGGACGAAAGUCUGAUGGAGCAACGCCGCGUGAGUGAUGAAGGUUUUCGGAUCGUAAAACUCUGUUGUAAGGGAAGAACACGUACGAGAGGGAAUGCUCGUACCUUGACGGUACCUUACGAGAAAGCCACGGCUAACUACGUGCCAGCCGCCGCGGUAA